rnacentral:lncRNA from 1 species
AAAAAUUCAAGUAUCCAUCGUGAAUUUUGAAGAAACCCGAACGCCAACUUCGAAUUCACGCUAAAUGCGUGAGGAAUUUGAGAGAGGGUCAUAUCAUAGUUGCUCACAAGUAUCCUAGCAGCACAAGGAUCCUAGCAACAAAAGCUCCCAACAAAUCUCACGGAAUUUGAGCUCAAACAUAAAGAAUGAAAAUUCCCACGAAAAUGCUAAAAAACACGAAAAAGAUAAAUUUCAAAUACAAAAAGUAUGGAACAAGAUAGCACGGAAUUGAUCUUUGGAUUACUCCACCAUAUUUGGUUACAAGCCACUCUUAAGCACAAUCAAAACUAAAAUGGCAAAAAGAUCAAAUCAAAUAUCUCGCAUCUCUCUCCUUCUCACCUCCCAAAGACUCUCACCAACAAAAUGAGAAGCCCACCACCAAAAAGCCCAAGAGAUGUGUGGCUGUCCAACAACC